AUUGAACGCUGGCGGCAUGCCUUACACAUGCAAGUCGAACGGCAGCGGACCUUCGGGUGCCGGCGAGUGGCGAACGGGUGAGUAAUGCAUCGGAACGUGCCAUUGAGUGGGGGGAUAACGUAGCGAAAGUUGCGCUAAUACCGCAUAUUCUGUGAGCAGGAAAGGACAGGGGACCGGCCAAGGCCUUGCGCUCUUUGAGCGGCCGAUGUCAGAUUAGCUAGUUGGUGAGGUAACGGCGUUACCAAGGCGGACGAUCUGUAGCGGGUCUGAGAGGAUGAUCCGCCACACUGGAACUGAGACACGGUCCAGACUCCUACGGGAGGCAGCAGUGGGGGAAGUUUUGGUACAAUGGGGGCGAACCCUGAUCCAGCCAUGCCGCGUGAGUGAAGAAGGCC
rnacentral:rRNA from 1 species